rnacentral:rRNA from 1 species
UACGUAGGGGGCAAGCGUUAUCCGGAUUUACUGGGUGUAAAGGGAGCGCAGACGGUUUUGCAAGUCUGAUGUGAAAGGCUGGGGCUUAACCCCGGGACUGCAUUGGAAACUGCAUGACUUGAGUGCCGGAGGGGUAAGCGGAAUUCCUAGUGUAGCGGUGAAAUGCGUAGAUAUUAGGAGGAACACCGACGGCGAAGGCGGUCCGCCGGCGCAUUGCUGACCCUCAUGGACGAGAGCGUGGGUAGCGAAC